CGGGGUGCAGCAGGCGCGAAAACUCUACAAUGCAGGCAACUGCGAUAGGGGAACAUCGAGUGAUACUCAUCUUGGGUGUCUGUCCUCCCGUCUAAAAAACGGGAGUUAGCAAGGGCCGGGCAAGACCGGUGCCAGCCGCCGCGGUAAUACCGGCGGCUCGAGUGGUGGCCGAUAUUAUUGAGUCUAAAGGGUCCGUAGCCGGCUUUGCAAGUCUUUUGGGAAAUCCAGCGGCUUAACCGUUGGUCGUCCGGGAGAUACUACAUUGCUUGGGACUGGGAGAGGUAGGAGGUACUCAGGGGGUAGGAGUGAAAUCCUGUAAUCCUUUGGGGACCACCGGUGGCGAAGGCGUCCUACCAGAACAGGUCCGACGGUGAGGGACGAAAGCUAGGGGCACGAACCGGAUUAGAUACCCGGGUAGCCCUAGCCGUAAACGAUGCUCGCUAGGUGUCACAACAAUCGUGAAUUGUUGUGGUGCCGUAGGGAAGCCGUGAAGCGAGCCACUUGGGAAGUACGACCGCAAGGUUGAAACUUAAAGGAAUUGGCGGGGGAGCACAAGGGCGAUUCGCG
rnacentral:rRNA from 1 species